GGUCUUGAAGAGACACACAUAUAUAGACAAUACACAUAGUACACACAAUCUACGCAGAGACACGCCUGAAAAUUGAAGGCCGCGCAGCUUUGCUAUUCUUCUGAACAAUAGAUACACAAUAUAGUGAUACAGUAGAGACGCAUAUACAGAAAAACAAUACAGAGGGAGGGACGCCUGGAAAUUUUGAAAGAAGGGUUGGCGGCUCGGCUUCUUCUGAAAAAAUACAAGAACAUCAACCAUUGGACCUUACUCCAUCUCCCUCACGGCGGAGAACAGACGCACACACACAAACAAAUUUGCAACUGCUUUUGAGUUUGCUUAGUGUAGAGUCACCAUUAAAGGUAGCCUGUUCUAAAUUCGACAGGGUUUCAGGCUCGAGGUCUCGAUUUCUCCUGUGGUUCCUGUUCGAUUUAGCCAUUGUUGAUAAGCAUGGAUUUUGCUGGAAUUUGAUCGAGGAUGACCUCAGUUCGAGCCUCUUUGCUGGGUCGAGCUCAUUUGUAUUUGUUCAGCUCCAUUUUCCAUUGUUGGAUGCUCGAUUUCGUCUGAAAUUUGAACUCGAAAGUUCGUAUCUACAGAUUCUCAAAACCUUAAAGAAUUUUAGCUCAACAGGUUCAACUAAGCUCUUUCUCUUCUCAUUGUUUUGUUUGUGAUGGAUUAUGGUGUUUGUGUUGGUUUGGUUGAUAUUCUUUAUUAAAUUGCUUUAAUUGGUUAUCCGGAUUUCGAAUCUCAUCAUUUAGGCUGGAUCAAUUCCGUUUGUGGAUAAUUCUUGUUUGCAUUUGAUGCUAUGUUAGAGUUGGAUUCUAUAAAUGAAUCAGUAGAGUUUAGGUCUAGAAUUAGCUGCACGCUCGAAAGAGAUAUGUGUUUGGAAGUGAUAAAUCAGAACUGAAGCAUUGAGGUUAUGGUUAACUGUUUGAGUGACCAACUCGCGUGUUGAAUGCUUAAUUUUCUUGAAAAUAAGUAUCGAGACUAUUAGUUAUCACUAAGGUGGAUGUUCUAAUCAAACUUUGAUCUAUUGUGAGUUCUUUAAAUCGGCUUGGUACACAUGUUGAGUUUUUAGGAUAAUUGAAUAUAACUAGGUUCCUCCUUGUUUAUUAACGGAAGAUGUUUGUGAGCUAGUUAAUGUACUAAUCUGUGCUUUCGAUUUCUCAUGAAUUUUACUGAAUUUCAUUGUUUGGCGUGUUUGACUGAAGCUCGUCCAGUUAUGAGAUUUUGACUCAUCUUCGGUGAUUUCUCGUGAAUUUUACUGAAUUUCAUUGUUUGGCGUGUUUAACUCCAGUUAUGAGAUUCCGAAUCAUUUCCAGCUUGUAUUUGAUGCUUUUGAACUGUUCUCUUUGCUUUCAAUUAGAGAUGUUGUUAUUUGUUUGAUCAUGUUGGUUUUAGCAGCAUUUUCUUUAGUUUGAAACUGGUUGGGAACUACUUGAAUAUUUGAGUGAAAAGCCAUGUAUUGAAGAGCUAAUUAUCUUUAGUUAGAGCCUGUUUGUUAUUCUUAUAUAUAAUGUGAUCAUGCCUAAUAUUGCUGCUGAUUAGGAAGGAUUUGAAGCAGCAGUUUGCUUUGUUCUUCUGUAUAUUAAAUCCUGAGGUACCCCAAAAGUUAAUGUUAUUUGAUUUUGCUAUUUAUCUUUAUUUCCAC
rnacentral:lncRNA from 1 species